rnacentral:rRNA from 1 species
GACGAACGCUGGCGGCGUGCUUAACACAUGCAAGUCGAACGGAAAGGCCCUGCUUUUGUGGGGUGCUCGAGUGGCGAACGGGUGAGUAACACGUGAGUAACCUGCCCUUGACUUUGGGAUAACUUCAGGGAACUGGGGCUAAUACCGGGUAGGAGCUCCUGCUGCACGGUGUGGGUUGGAAAGUUUCGGCGGUUGGGUCUGGACUCGCGGCUUAUCAGCUUCAUGGUGGGGUAGUGGCUGACCAAGGCUUCGACGGGUAGCCGGCCUGAGAGGGUGACCGGCCACAUUGGUACUGAGAUACGGCGCAGAAUCGUACGUGACGCAGAAGGGGGGAAUAUUGCACAAUGGGCGGAAGCCUGAUGCAGCGACGCCGCGUGCGGAAUAACGGGCUUUUAGUUGUAAACCGAUUUCGCCGGUGCCGAACCGAGAGUGACGGUAAUGGGUAAGGAAGCACCGGCUAACUACGUG